GGCUAAAUACUCCUGACUGACCGAUAGUGAACCAGUACCGUGAGGGAAAGGCGAAAAGAACCCCGGCGAGGGGAGUGAAAAAGAACCUGAAACCGUGUACGUACAAGCAGGGGGAGCACGCUUAGGCGUGUGACUGCGUACCUUUUGUAUAAUGGGUCAGCGACUUAUAUUCUGUAGCAAGGUUAACCGAAUAGGGGAGCCGAAGGGAAACCGAGUCUUAA
rnacentral:rRNA from 1 species